GCUUGGUUAGCUCAGUUGGUUAGAGCAUGGUGCUGAUAGUUGCUAAGGUUGCAGGUUCGAGCCCUGUAUGGGACA